AAUAGAUACCCGGGUAGUCCACGCCGUAAACGAUGAGUGCUAGGUGUUGGGGGGUACCACCCUCAGUGCCGAAGCUAACGCAUUAAGCACUCCGCCUGGGGAGUACGGUCGCAAGACUGAAACUCAAAGGAAUUGACGGGGGCCCGCACAAGCAGUGGAGCAUGUGGUUUAAUUCGAAGCAACGCGAAGAACCUUACCAGGACUUGACAUCCCGCUGACCGGUCUAGAGAUAGACCUUCCCUUCGGGGCAGCGGUGACAGGUGGUGCAUGGUUGUCGUCAGCUCGUGUCGUGAGAUGUUGGGUUAAGUCCCGCAACGAGCGCAACCCUUGUCCUCUGUUGCCAUCAGGUUAAGCUGGGCACUCUGAGGAGACUGCCGGUGAUAAACCGGAGGAAGGUGGGGAUGACGUCAAGUCAGCAUGGCCUUUAUGUCUGGGGCUACACACGUGCUACAAUGGCCGACACAAACCGUCGCGAUGCCGCAAGGUGGAGCUAAUCGGACAAAGUCGGUCUCAGUUCGGAUUGCAGG
rnacentral:rRNA from 1 species